rnacentral:rRNA from 1 species
UACGUAGGGGGCGAGCGUUGUCCGGAUUUAUUGGGCGUAAAGAGCUCGUAGGCGGUUUGUCACGUCUGCUGUGAAAUCCCGAGGCUCAACCUCGGGCCUGCAGUGGGUACGGGCAGACUGGAGUGCGGUAGGGGAGAAUGGAAUUCCUGGUGUAGCGGUGGAAUGCGCAGAUAUCAGGAGGAACACCGAUGGCGAAGGCAGUUCUCUGGGCCGUAACUGACGCUGAGGAGCGAAAGCGUGGGGAGCGAACAGG